CGCAACGGCACGAAAGUCUGACGGAGCGACGCUGCGUGAAGGAUGACGGCCUGCGGGUUGUAAACUUCUUUUCUCGAAGAAGAAGCUCUGACGGUAUUCGAGGAAUAAGCAUCGGCUAACUCCGUGCCAGCAGCCGCGGUAAGACGGAGGAUGCAAGUGUUAUUCGGAAUGAUUGGGCGUAAAGCGUCUGUAGGCUGUAUAGAAAGUCUUUUGUUAAAUACCUCGGCUCAACCGAGAUCCAGCAAAGGAAACUUCUAUACUUGAGGUAAGUAGAGGUACAGGGAAUUCCCGGUGGAGCGGUGAAAUGCGUAGACAUCGGGAGGAACACCAAUAUGGCGAAGGCACUGUACUGGGCUUUACCUGACGCUCAGAGACGAAAGCUAAAGGAGUGAUUAGGAUUAGAUACCCUAGUAAUUUUAGCCGUAAACGAUGGAAACUCACUGCCGAGCGAAAUACAACGAGCGGUGGUCAAGCUAACGCGUGAAGUUUUCCGCCUGGGGACUACGCUAGCAAGAGUGAAACUCAAAGGAAUUGACGGACCCCAACGGGAUAUUGGUUAAUUCGAUCACCCAAACUCCAGGUUGAAUAUUAAAUCUGAAAGACUCUCGAA
rnacentral:rRNA from 1 species